rnacentral:lncRNA from 1 species
GCCUUAUUCCCUGAGGAUCAAUUGUUUUCAACAGGGGGAAAUAAUCAGCCAAAUUGGGCUUACCGGCUUCUUCCAUGAUGUUCCACACCACAUCCUUGAAUUCUUUACCUGAAUUUGCAUAAGGGUCCACGACAUCCUUGGAAAAAAUGGUAUUCGAGAGUAAAUUCAUAGAGGUCUCGAAAGCAGCUUGGCCUAUAUUCACUGCCUCACCGGUUUGGCUACACCGAUGGCAAUAAGCAAUAAGAUCUUGGAUCUUUCCAGACCUAAGAACAGAUAUGACAAAAUCAACUUCUUCUUUUUUUAUAACUCUAUCAGUACCUAACUCAUCAAAUUAAUUGGUCAUAAUAGUAUAACUGCAUGUAUGGGUCAAAAUGCAACUCAAACAUAUAAAAUCGGAUUUGAGAUAUUGAAUUAUUUAUUUUUUUUCAAUAAAUUUGGCUUGACCAAACCAUUUGCGACGCUACCUGAGAUGUUGAUUAGCAUCAAGCCUGCUGCCGGAAAAGAUAUACGAAUUCAAGAUUUUCCUCAGGCUUCUCCAUCGAUUAGCGACUGGUAGCCAUACCACAGAGAAUUUGUAGACAUUUUGGGCAUAGAUUGCAUCUGGGAUUGUUCUACUGGAAAAGGCCAAAUCUUGCUUUUGAAGAACUUCUUUAGCAACGGCUGAUGAAGAUAUAAUGACUGUUGUUACUUGGCCCAACCUGAUACUGAUUAUCGGGCCAUACUUUUCAGCAAGCUUCGCAAGACACUGGUGAGGUUGACCACCAAGAAUGUUAUGAAGAUUUCCAAUCAAGGGCAGGGGAUUUGGUCCUGGUGGAAGUUUCUUGUUACAUCCUUUGCUUGUUGCUUGCCAACGAAUGCACUGAACCAAAGUCCAGGCAAGCAGCAAUCCACCUAUAAUGGUUAGAUAAUCCAUUGUUAUCUUUGCUGAACAAGCUAGUGGUCAUUUAUGCACAAUGGUCAUUUAUUUUAUGCAGAAAAUCAGCCAUUCACUCUGGGAAAGUUAUGUCACUUAAUAAUGGCAUAAUACGUGGAUAUAAUCCUAAAUUUACAUUAAAUUAUAAUUUUAAUUUUAAACUUUGAUAGUAUAUAAAUAUGAUCUCUCAUUCUAUGUGACAAAAUGCGUGUUGUAUACGCAAAAUUGGGCGCAACAAGCAAAACUGACCUAUAAUCCUUUUUAUAUAUUUAAAUGACUUUUCACUAUUAUUUUUUUCAUUAUUUUCGGCUUAAAGAUGAAACUAUACUUAUAAUAAUUAAAAAAAAUUAUAGUUUUAAUAAAACGUUAUUAAGGGCAGUAAUAGUAGUUUAUUAAAUUAACGUUAUUAAAACUUUAUUAAUAAAAGGUUGUUAAGAGCAACAGCAGUAGUAUAUUAAAUUAACGUUAUUAAGGACAGUAGUAGUAAUAUAUUAAAUUAACGUUAUUAAAACGUUAUAAAGAUGGAAAUUUUAUUAAAAUAUUGUUAAUAAUAAUAAUAAUAAUAAUCAUAAUAGUACUAGUAGUAGUGGUAUAUUGAUAGAAGCAAUAGUACGUACGUAGUAGUAGUAGUAGUAGUAAUAAUAAUAAUAAUAAUAAUAAGCAAAACGAUGGCGUUUUAACUUAUAGAAGCAAACCGGCGUCGUUUUAAGUUCCAAAUCAAAAGUCCUCCCAAUCAGCCCUUUUAAUGACAUGACAUUGUAUGAUUAGAUUACAUAUCCACGUAGGCGCAAGUGAAACUCACGCAUGGAGAUUGCAAAAUCGAAGAUCAUAUUUGUUCAGAUUUUGAAUAGUUAAAGGUCCUAUUUGUGCAUAAUUAAAGUUUAAGGUCAAAAUUAUAAUUUGGUGUGAAAUUUAGGGUCAUAUAUAUAUGUAUUAUGGCUUUAAUAAUUGAUGCAUUUUUAUGUCCAACUCAUAGCAAUUAAUCAUUUAAUAAUCAAUUAGUAUCUGUCUUCUGUUUACUUUGAUAGAUUAAAAAUUGGAAAAAAAGAUACUCGUACUAACUUGGUUCAUCAACAAGUGGUGUUUUAAUAUUUUUUGUAUUGUUCUCUAAAUAAAUCUUGUUUUAGACAAUUAUAAAUUAUAAUAUCAACAUAGGUUAUGAUGCAGUAAAUGAGAUUGUUCCACCCUUAAUCAGAGGUCGAAGGUUCGACCCUAAAUUUGAAUUAGUUAGAACUUUAAUACGGAUACCGGAUGAAAACAAAAAAAAAUAUACAUUUAUAAUGAUCUUCCAGUUGUAAUUUUUUAAAAUUAAAAGCAUUUUACAUAGCCAGAAAAACUACAUAUGAUACGUGCUCCUCCGUGACCAUAACUUGCUCAUGUCUUAAAUUGGCAUAAUACAUAAAUAUGAUCCUAAACUUGACAUGAAAUUAUAACAUUGACCUUAAAUUUUGAUAGUUCACAAAUAGGACCUUUAACUAUUCAAAAUCUGAACAAAUAUGACCUCCGAUUCCUAUCUGGCAAAACGCGUAUUGUACACGCAAAACUGGGUGCGUCGGGCUAAAAAUUUGAGCGUCCCAACAGUAAAAAAGGGUAAAAUAACUAUUAUGCCCUUACUGAUUUCUUUUUAUAUAUUUAAAUGACUUUUCACUAUUAUUUUUUCAUUAUUUUCAGCUCAAAGAUGAAACUAUACUAAUAAUAAAUAAAAAAAUUAUAGAUUUUAAUAAAACGUUAUUAAAUUAACAUUAUUAAACUAACGUUAUUAAAUGAACGUUAUUAAUAAAAUGUUAUUAAGGAUAUUAAAUUAACGUUAUUAAUAAAACGUUAUUAAGGGAAGUAGUAAUAGUAUAUUAAAUUAACGUUAUUAAUAAAACAUUAUUAAGAUGAAAAUUUUACUAAAAUAUUGUUAUUACUAUUAUUAUUAUUAUUAUUAAUAAUAAUAAUAAUAAAUAAUAAUAAUCAUUAUUAUUAUUAUUAUUAUUAUAAGUAGUACGUAAUAUGUAGAAAUAAUAGUAGAAUAAUAAUAAUAAUAAUAAUAAUAAUAAUAAUAAUAAUAAUAAUAAUAAUAAUAAUAAUAAUAAGUAAAACGACGUCGUUUUAACUUAUAGAAGCAAAACAACGUUGUUUUAAUUGAAAGACAAAAGUUCCUCCAUGUCAUUCCUUUUAAUGACGUGGCACCGUAUGAUUGGAUUACAUAUCCACGUAGGCGCAAGUGAGUUACAUGCAUGGAGGUUGCAAAAUCGGAGGUCAUAUUUGUUCAGGUUUUUAAUAGUUAAAGGUCCUAUUUGUGCACUAUCAAAGUUUAAGGUCAAUGUUAUAAUUUGGUGUCAAGUUUAGGGUCAUAUUUAAUUAUUUAUGUAUUAUGCCUCUUAAAUUCUGGUUGUAGUACAUAAAUCCACCGUGGACCAUAACUUGCUCAUGUCUUAAAUUUUGGUUGUAGUACAUAAAUUUUAGGCUUAAGUCAUCGAUAACACUUAAAGUUAUCCCGAAAAUUCACUUGAAUCCCUCAACUAAGGCUUGUGCCUAUCAGACACCUCAAGUGCUAAAAUUGAUACAUAUCAGGCACAAAAUGCUGAUUUGACAAGGAGAGUGUGUUACACAACACACUCUCCUUGGGCGCUUAAAUAGUAGAAUAAAUAAUAUUUUAUUUUUUAAUAAAAAAACUUAUAUUUAAAUUAUUUUAUUAAUAUAAUUUUUAAUUAUUAUAACUUCUUAAUCUUAAGAAGNNNNNNNNNNNNNNNNNNNNNNNNNNNNNNNNNNNNNNNNNNNNNNNNNNNNNNNNNNNNNNNNNNNNNNNNNNNNNNNNNNNNNNNNNNNNNNNNNNNNNNNNNNNNNNNNNNNNNNNNNNNNNNNNNNNNNNNNNNNNNNNNNNNNNCACCCCCCAUUCAUCGUCUUCUUCACAAUUUUCUCCCCUCCCCAGUCAUCGUCAUCUUCACAUCUCCGUCCUCAUUUUCUUCAACCCCCCACCCUCCCCAUAGCCAUUGCAACUUCCCCACCUCUUUAGCCGUUUUUUUUUUUCAUUCAAAAUUUUUGAAGUUUCUGAGGAAUGCAUUUUGCGGCGAGACUAGCCUAAAAAUUAACUUCGAAAUUUCAAGUAUUAAUCUGUGUGUUUAUGUAUGUAGUUCUAGUACAAAUGUUGAUUAAAGAAAAAGAGGUAUUGUAAGUUGAUCUUCAGGUAAAACUUGUCUGCAAUAAUAAAUAAUUGGACAAACAAAGUUGACUGAUUAACUAAAAAAAAUUUUUUUUCUCCUCCUGGAAUGAAGGUGAAUUCGUCAAGUGAAGGUAGUCGAAUGCAUCCGAGAUACUCAGAAUUUAGAUAUUGAAUAUUUAAUAGUUUUGCUAUUGAAAAUGGAGAAGAGAAUGGAAGAGGGGGGGAGGGGGAAUCAGUUUUUUACUUGGGGUGAGGAUGAAGAAGACAAUAUAGUCUUCUGGGGGUGGGGUAGGAGUGGGGAGGGUUACUGUUUUUAUUUUUUAAUUUUAAAAUAAUUUUCUUUUUCUAUUGUUGAGGAGUAUAAAAUAAUUUUUGGACCCACACGAUAAGUGUCAUUAUUUAAUUGGAUUUUUAACUUAUAGUUUUAAAAAAAAAAUCAUUUUCCACAUGUUUUUUUUGUAUUGGUCAUUUUUGCCACAUCAGGCGAGUGUGUUACACACACUCUAGAAUUUUUGCUAAUUGUGCAAAAAACGUCUGAUUGGAUCAAAAUUCGGGUGGGUUAGAGACCUGAUAGGUACAAACUUAAGUUGAGGGGUUCAAGUGAAUUUUCGGGACAACUUUAAGGGAUCGUUUGGUUUGAGGUGUUGAAGAAAAUAAUCACGGGAUAAAAUAAUAAUUCCGAAAUAAAAUUUUCUAUUGCAUGUUUGGUUGGCAAUAUUCGGGAUAACUUAUCCCUGGAUUAUUUAAUAGUCCUAGGAUAAGUUAUCCACUCAAUUGGUGGGAUAACAAUCCCACCAUAAUUUAUCCUUGGGAUAAAUGUAUGAAAGGACAAAAAUACCCUCAAACUCUAUUAUUUUCAUUUCUCUCUCGCUCUCUCACUCACACACACACACACACACACACAUAUAUAUAUUNNNNNNNNNNNNNNNNNNNNNNNNNNNNNNNNNNNNNNNNNNNNNNNNNNNNNNNNNNNNNNNNNNNNNNNNNNNNNNNNNNNNNNNNNNNNNNNNNNNNNNNNNNNNNNNNNNNNNNNNNNNNNNNNNNNNNNNNNNNNNNNNNNNNNNNNNNNNNNNNNNNNNNNNNNNNNNNNNNNNNNNNNNNNNNNNNNNNNNNNNNNNNNNNNNNNNNNNNNNNNNNNNNNNNNNNNNNNNNNNNNNNNNNNNNNNNNNNNNNNNNNNNNNNNNNNNNNNNNNNNNNNNNNNNNNNNNNNNAUAAUAUAUUCAUAAAUAUAUAUAAAUUAUAUAUUCAUAAAUAAUGUUUAAUUAACGUAUAAUAUAUUCAUUUAUUAUGAAUAUAAUAUAUUAGGUAAUAUAUAACGUAAUUACGUAAUAUAUAAUGUAAUAUAUAACGUAUAAUAUUAUAAAUAUAUUAUGAAUAUAUAUGUGUUAAUUAUGUUUAAUUAUAUAUGUAUUAUGUUAAUAUAUUUAAUUAUAAUAUAUUAUGUUAAUUUAGAUAUAAUAACAUAAUAUAUAACGUAAUAUAUUCUCACACAAACAUAAAUUAUGUUUAAUUAACGUAUAAUAUAUUCAUAAGUAAAUAAAUUUUGAACAGUUUAACUUUCAAAAUGGUUGUAAAAUAUAUAAAUUAUGUUUAUUUAUAUACUUUAAUUUCUCUAAAAAAUAAUAAAAAAUUUAAGAAUGAAUAUUUAAAGUUAAAAAGAAAUAUAUCUAUAAAAAAGUUAGAUAAGAUGGAGGGUAUUUUGGUAAUCAAUCAAUUUAUUGCUAGAAAUUAUACCAUGCAUAUUUCUUUGAAUACAACAAACCAAACACUCAAUAAAAAAUAAUCUCAGCAUAACUUAUCCCAUCAUAACUUAUCCCAGCAUAACUAAUCCCGGUAUAACUUGUUUUCAAACCAAACGACCCCUAAGUGUCUGUCGAUGACUUAAGCCUAAAUUUUAGUUCUUCUUUAAUUAUGGAUCUUGAAGUCAAAUCUGAAAUUAAAAGUACAAGUUUUUGAAGUAGUGAUUUUUUAUUUAUGAAAUUGUGUUUUAAAAAAAAAAAAAAUUAUGAGUGACGGUCCCCAAAAAAUGAAAAAGAAGUCUAGGACAAUUUAUAAGAGCUUAAAAAUCAAAAUCUGGUCAAUUUUUAUGACGAAACGAUAAAUUUUUAAAAUCUACUUUCAAAUAUAUGAUAAAAUGUCAUGCCGACAUGUUGGUUUCACCAAUCUAACACAACUACUGGAACAACUUCUCUACCAUUCCAAUGUCUGUUUGUUUUGCAUAUGCUUUUUGGACCGGUGGAAUAGGCCUUAUACUUGUCUCGUAUUAUCAAGUCGACCCUUCUAUAAGUGAAAAAGACAACAAUACCCUUGCUUAAAAGGAAAGGAUACCUAUAGUUACGCGUGGAACAUACUAAAUUCAUGACUUUAGGUGCAUGGAACAUUAAGAUUCAAGACCCCCUCCCCCCCCCCCUUCCAAAGAGCAAGUGAACGCUUCCAAUUAUGGGUAAUGGGAAUUAAGGGUCCUGAAGGAAGCUUUCCAAGUAAUAAAGUGAAGCAUUGGGCUAAAGUCCAGGCAAAUAAGAAAGGUAAUGAAGUUGUCUUGCAAUCCAGGAAAUUGCAUGCCAAAUACUCAAAUAUGGGUGACUUUAGAUAUUUGACUCCAAUAAGAAAUGUCUUUAAAGAAUAACUUUUCUUACUUUUAAAGUAUAAUAUAAGUACCAUUUUACCCCUCUAAACCUCAAAUAUAUUUUUAAACUUUCCAUACUUAUUUGUCUCUCAAAUUUUAUUUUUUAUUAUUUUCACUUUAUAUUUUUUCUUUAAUUUUAUUAUUCUAUUUUUUCUUAUUUUCACUUUUUUUUUAAUUUUAUUUUCAUGUUUUAAUUCAUUUGUCUCAGCCUUUAUUUUUUUUCCCUUUUUUUUUUUUUGUCAAGCAUUAUUUUUUUCAUUUUUUUCUUUUUUAAUUCAUUUUUAUUUAACCUUUAUUUUUUUUUUUGUAUUAUUUUUAUUAGUUCUCUUUUUUCGCUCAUUUUUCUCGAACUGUAUUUUUAUUUUUUCGCUCAUUUUUAUUUUUCUCAAUUUUUUUAAUUCUUUAUUUUUCUUCUUAAUCUUUAUUUUUUUCUUGCCUUUUUUUUCUCAAUCUCGUUUUUUUAUUUCUCUAUUUUGUUUGAUCAUUUUUUUCUUUUUUCAGUUCUUUUUUUCCCUCAUUUUUCACAAACUUUAUUUUUAUUUUUCCUCUCAUUUUUAUUUUUCUCAAUUUUUUUAAAUCUUCAUUUUUUUCUUAAUCUUUAUUUUUUCUUUCCUUUUUUUUCUCAAUCUUUUUUUAUUUCUCUAUUUUGUUUGAUCGCUUUUUUCUUUUUUCUCAACUUCUAUUAUAUUUUGCUAGUAAAUAAAAACUUGGAUAAUCCACAAAGGGAUUUCUUUUUUUUGACAUCAAAGUAAAUUUAAGGGCAUGAAUUGUUGUUACGAGGUUUUUUAAAAUUCUUGAGAUAAGUCGUGUCUCUAAGGCAAGAGUUGUAGAAUAUCUCAUAAAUAUAGACAUAAUGUGGUAGUAUCAACUCUUGCCCGUGGGCAUAAUUUAUUAUUUGAAAGUCCUUGAGCUAAGUCUUGCCGCUAAGACAAUAGUUGCAGAACAUCUCAUAAAUGAAGACAUAAUGAGUUUGUGUCAACUCUUAUCCGUGGGGCAUAAUUUGUAGUUUGAAAGUCUUUGAGUUAAGUUUUGCCUCUAAGGCAAGAGUUGCAGAACAUCUCAUAAGUGAAAACAUAACGUGGUAGUGUCAACUUUUGUCCAUGAAACAUAACUUGUUGUUUGAAAGUCUUGGAGAACUUCUCAUAAAUCAAAAUACAACGUGGUAGUGUUAAUUCUUGCCCAUAAAACAUAACUUGUUGUUUGAAAGUCAUAAAUCUUGCCUCUACAAUCUGGUAGUGUCAAUUCUUGUUCAUGAAAUGUAGUUUGUUAUUUGAAAGUCGCAAGGCUUGCCUUUAUAAUGUGGUAGUGUUAAUUCUUACUCAUGAGAUUUAACUUAAAUGGAAGAAAUCGAAGAAAUAAAAAUAAAAAAAAUUGUUGAAAAGGAAGAAAAAUGAAAAAAAUAUUAAAAAUAAAAUUAAAGAAAAUGUAGAAGUUGAGAGAGAAUUAAAAAAAAAUAAAGGCUGAUAAAAAUAAUAAAAUAAAAAAAUAAAAACAAAGGUCGAGAAAAAAUUUAAAAGAAAAAAUAAAAAUCAAAGAAAAAUAAAAAAAUUAUUUUAUAAAGUAGACAUUGAGAGGUGUAAAGAAAAAAAAGUAAGGGUUGAGAAAAACUAAUAAGAACGAAAAAAAAAAGAAAGAAAGAAAAAAAAAAGAAAAAAAAGGAAGUUGAUAGGAAAAAAAGGAAAAAAGUAAGGGUUGAAAAAAACUAAAAUUUAAAAUAAAAAAUAAAAAAUAAAAAUCAAAGUAAAAUUAAAAAGAGAAAAGAAAUGAAAGUUGAAAGAUAUAAAUAUGAGGAUCAUUUAUGUAAUUUACUUCAUUUGCCAUGAGUAAUUUAGUUCAAAAAAAUAUUAAUUAAUAGGUAAAGGCUAUUUUAAGAAAAUAUUUUUACUUGAGGCUAAAAUUUGAAAGGCAUUGCAAUUUGGGUCUAUUCUUGAAAUUUACCCCUUGCAAUUCAGGGUGAAUCUAAAAAAUAGAUCCAAAUUUUAGCCCCAAAUAAAAAAGCUUCUUUAAAAUAGCCUUAGCUAUUAACUAGUAUUUUUUUGGACAAAAUUACCCCUGAUCAAUGGAGUAAAUUACAUAAAUACCCUCAUAAUGGAUAACAACUCCAUAUUUAUAUCUUUCAACUUUUAUUUUUUUCUCUUUUUAAUUUUACUUUGAUUUUUAUUUUUUUAUUUUCUCUUUUUAUUUUUAAUUUUCUCAACCCUUACUUUUUUCCUCUCAUCUUUUUUUUUUCUUUUAUAUUUUUUUUAUUUUUUAUUUUUUCUUUCCACUUUUUUUUUUUAUUUGUUUUAGUUUUUAUCAACCCUUACUUUUUCCUUUACACCUUUCAACAUCUACUUUUAUUAAAAAAAAACUUUUUUUUUAUUUUUCUUUGAUUUUUAUUUUUUCUUUUUUUCUUUUUAAUUUUUCUCGACCUUUAUUUUUAUUUAAUCUUUCUUUUUUUUAUCAACCUUUAUUUUUUUUUCCAUUCUCUCUCAACUUCUACAUUUUCUUUGAUGUUUUUUUUUUUAAUAUUUUUCUUCAUUUUCUUCUUUUUCGCAAUUUUUUUUAUUUUUGUUCUUUUCUUCGAUUUCUUCCAUUCAAGUUACAUCUCCUGAGUAAGAGUUGACACUAUCACAUUAUAAAGGUAAGAUUUACGACUUUCGAACAAUAAGCUACGUUUCAUGGGCAAGAGUUGACACUACUACAUUGUAGAAGCAAGACUUAUGACUUUCAAAUAACAAGUUAUGUUUCAUGGAAAAGAGUUAACAGUACCACAUUGUAUUUUGAUUUAUGAGAUGUUCUACAACUAUUGCCUUAGAGGUAAGACUUAGCUUAAGGACUUUCAAAUAACAAAUUAUGCCCCACAGGCAAGAGUUGACUCUACCACGUUAUGUUUUCACUUAUAAGAUGUUCUACAACUAUUGUCUUAGAGGCAAAACAUAGCUUAGAGACUUUCAAACUACAAAUUAUGCCCCAUGGGCAAGAGUUGACUCUACCACGUUAUGUUUUCAUUUAUGAGAUGUUCUACAACUAUUGCCUUAGAGGCAAAACUUAGCUCAAAGACUUUCAGACAAUAAAUUAUACCCCACGAAUAAGAGUUGACUCUACCACGUUAUAUUUUCAUUUAUGAGAUGUUCUACAACUAUUGCCUUAGAGACAAGACUUAGCUCGAGGACUUUUAAACAACAAAUUAUGCCCCACAGGCAAGAAUUGACUCUACCACAUUAUGUUUUGAUUUAUGAGAUGUUCUACAACUAUUGCCUUAGAGGCAAGACUUGACUAAAGGACUCUCAAACUACAAAUUAUGCCCCACGGGCAAGAGUUAACUCUAUCACGUUAUAUUUUCAUUUAUAAGAUAUUCUACAACUAUUACCUUAGAGGCAAGACCUGGAUCAAGGACUUUAAAACUACAAAUUAUGCCCCACGGGCAAGAGUUAACUCUACCACGUUAUAUUUUUAUUUAUGAGAUAUUCUACAAUAUUGCCUUAAAGGCAAGACUUGGCUCAAUGACUUUCAAACUACAAAUUAUGCCCCACGGGCAAGAGUUGACUUUACCACGUUAUGUUUUUAUUUAUAAGAUGUUCUACAAUUAUUGCCUUAGAGGCAAGACUUAAUUAGCUCAAGGACUUUCAAACUACAAAUUAUGCCCCACGGGCAAAAGUUGACUCUACCACAUUAUGUUUUCAUUUAUGAGAUGUUCUACAACUAUUGCUUUAGAGGUAAGUGUUGACACCUAAUUUUUUCCCUCCACAACCAAAUUCAAUCUCAAGUUUCUUUGAUUUUCAAUAAAAUUAUAAUAUUUAUUUUAUCUGAAUAAAAUCUUUUCAAAAUACUUAUUUGGGUGAAUUUAUCAUUUUAAGUAGCGAUUAUAUAUUGUCGUAUUCAAUUAUACGAGAUUAUAUAAUUUUGCUUAGUUAAAUAUUUAUUUUGUGGAAUAUCGUGUUUUAAUUAAGGAUCAUUUUGAAAAUAAAUUCAAAUAGUUGAAAUCUAGAUUUAAAUAUAUUUAUUCUCAAAAAUAAUUUAUUUAGAUAAAUAUGUGUUUGAUUUUAUUAAAUCAAGAAACUCGAGAUUAAGCUAAGAAUUAAUUUGUAUCGAAUUUCAAUUUAAUUUGGUCAUGCUUUUAAAUUUGAUCAUAAUUGAAAUUAAAUUGACCACAAUUACAAUGUAAUUGGCCAAUUAACUUUUAAUUUGAUCAUAAUUUAAAUAGAAUAGGUUAAUUCCUGAUUGAAAUUAAUUUUUGAACCCUUAGUCUAAUUGGGGUUAUUUUCUAAAUAACCCCAAAACCUAAUCUACUAUUAUUAAUCCCAAGUUCCCAUUUAAUCAAUUAACUACCCAACCCAACAACUCCUUUUAACAAGCCCAGCAUUUCGGCCCAAGAGUCGAUCCGACCCAAAAUCCACCUCUAAUUUCCCUUUCCCCUUUUGGCAUACAAAAGCAACAAAAUAAUGUCCAAACAACUUGAAUCAUUAACAACGAUCUCAACAACAACGAUCCCAAAUCGUGACAACACCAACAAUUCCUUCAAACAACAUCCGUCACCCGAUACCCAGUAACCCGAACCUGGAAACCGAGCGAUCCGUUAACCCGAACCCACGAUUACACACUAUCGAAGAGCUGAGAUUUUUCUAGAAUUAUUUAGGUGGCUUCUCCAAUGGUCGAUUUCCACGAAUAUCGGGAUAUUUGGUACGAAUUCGUACAAAGGUGUGUCAAUUUCAUUGAUUUUGAGGGAAUUUUAACUUUUCCCAUUCCUAUUGGUUGAAACCAAUUUUAAAUUCUUAAAAGAAUUCAAAAAUUGGUACUGAUUGUAUGAUUAGAGGAGAAACCUUAUCCUUUUUUCCUCAAAAACCCCAAAUUACCCCUAUUGGCCUUGGUCCUACAUCGUUGGAGUGAAGAUUCACUCUCCAUUUUUGCUCUCUAUAUAAAGCUCUUUAUUGAGCUAAAAAGGGGGAGGUCUUGGAAGUUUGAAAACUUUUCGAGCAAAAAAGUUCAUUUUUGUAGUAAAAAAUAUUUUUUUUGUGAGAAUUUGUCAAUCACGUGAAGCUUUCUCGAAGUCGCAGAGGCUUUUUCGAUGGUGGUAGAAAUUCCAUCGAAGCCUAGAGUCUCGUUUUGCUGCUCCAAAACAGGUGAUGCUUCAUCCUUUAAUUUCCGUUUCUUUUUUCGCCAUUCUAUAGUCGUAAUGGCUUUUGCGGUAGCCUGGUGUGCUGGUUCUGCUUGCUGUAGAAGACUUAGAAGGCUAUAGGAUUCUUAGUUGAAGUGUUGUUUCGAAGAAAUCACCUUCAUUAGCUGUUUCAUUUUUUUAAUAAUGUUCAAUUUGCUGGUCGUUUCACGAGAAUUGCUCUGUAAGUUUAUUUAACAUGUUUCCUAUGCGCAUCAUGUUUCAUUCGACAAUUUGUCCCUUUUUACAUAUAUAUGUGAUUGUCAUGCUUGAUUCGAAUAUGUGAGUAAGUCGUGAUAGUCAAAAAAGAAAAGAAAAAAAAAGUACGAAUAUAUGCAGCACUUGGAUGCAUGAAAGGACCUAAUAAAUCAACUUAUAAUUUGAAAAUAUAUCGUACAUUUUGUUAACUGUAUUUAUUUUAUCAAUUUAAAUUUCUCCAGUCUUCUGGUUAAUCUUCUGUACUUUAAAAAUUCCUAUAAUCACCUCCCAUUAAUGGUUGACCUGUUCUUUUUGUUUUUUCUUUCUAUUUUCUGGAAGGAUUGUUCUUGACAUAAUAAUUUCCGAAAGGGUAUUAGUAUUACUUAUUUGCUUUUCUUACUUAGGUUGUCUUACAUUAUUGAAAAGUUGUCUAAACAUAUUUUGUACAUAGUUGUUAUUGUGGAUUGGUUCAUGAAUUAAUAGUUUUGUGGUUUCACUGUACUAGAACUAAUUGUGAUGGGAUACAUAGGAGCUUUUCUUUGUGGUAAUUUAUGUAUGUUUGUCUUCCCCAUUAAUUUAAGUUGCAAGUCCCCUUUGUUUUUCUAUAGGGAUGUCCUCGAGUAUAUGAAAAACAAGAGUUAUUUGGGUCAUUUUACAUGGAUUAUUAUUCAAUCUUUACCAAGGAAGUAUUAUCUAGUCUUGAUAUUACUUUCUUAAAAGUGUCAACUUGUAGUUUCCCUCCUUUGUUUAUAUUAUCGAAAUUAUUGCUACGUUCCUGAAAUUUGCUUUAGAGAUUCAACUUGCUUCUUUGAGGCGGACAUUUUUGUUGCAACUUUUCUUUCUUUUCCUGUUUAAGAGGAAUUUGGCUGAAUGGACAAAAGUCUUCUUAGAGUGCGACUCCUUGAUUAUCAAGUUAUUUGAUUCUUUUGUUGCAUUGUUGCAUUCUUACCUAGUUUGUUACUAUCUUCUUUUCUUAGGCUAUUCUUCUUUUUAGUUAGUUUUCUUGUUCUGAGAAAGACUGAUUUGUUUCCUGCCUUGAUGGACUUGCUCAUAGUAUCUCACUAAAAAAUUGUUUGGCCAUUUUCAAUAUUAUGUGUACUAAUUUCUUUGCUCUCGAUAUUCUGAAUUUUUUCUUUACAACUAUUGUUAUUGUAGUACAUGAACGUAAUUUUGUAGUAUUAAUGAGGUAGUUAUACAUAUUUAGAAUAUGUUUUAAUCCGUUCUCUUCUUUACAUGGCAUGUGAACUUGCUAUGGAGUCUACAAUGGACUUCCCCUCCCGUUGCAUUUUCGAACGGGCCAAUGAGGCCUAUAUCCUCAAAACUAAAGUCGAUCGUAUGGCGUAUCAAUGCAAGAAGAAAAAUGGGUUAAAAUCCCAUCGUUGAAGCGACAAAGAGGCUUAAAAGUCUCAUUCCCUUAUUAUUUUAUUUCUUAUUGUAUUUAUUUAUUUAUUCAUUUGUUUAAGUUAUUCAUGUAUUUGGACCUCGAAGCCAAAGUUGUACUUAAUACAAGUGGAACGAACUCGAGCCAAGGGCUCGAAAACUAAAUUAGGACAUGUGAAAUAGGUCAAAGACCUAAUCAUACUAGAAUAGGUUUCAUUGAUUUGGGCCCAAUGGCCUAAAUCUUUUACUUUUUCCUUCCUUUCCCCUUUUAUGUGUUUAUUUGCUCAGUCGUUUUGUUUAGACUUAGUUAAAAUUCCUACUAAGUCGCCUAAAUCUAUUUCACACAAGUUUUUUCUAAAAAAAUCAAUCACUUUUCAAUAAAUUAAUCUUUUUACAAGUUAAUCAAAAGAUGUUUUCAAACAGUUUGGAUAACCGCAAGUUAGCAGACGUUUUAGGUGCCUAACACCUUCCUAAAACAUUAAUAGGAACCGCUUAUUCAGAAUCUCUAACUUAAACAAUUUUUCUGUUUCAAAUCGUCUAAGUAUUUUAUAAAGGUUUCUUAAAUCCUUUUCAAAAUUAAGUGGCGACUUUUUAAAAGCUAAAAUUUCGCAAAACAGAAAUGGCGACUCUGCUGGGGACUUUUUAACUAGGUUCUAACCAAAUAUUUGAUUUCGUCUUUUGAUUAACUGUUUACGUGUUUAUAUGUUUUGAUUUUGCGGUAUUUAAUUAUUGCAUUCAUAGCAUAUUCCUGCAUUUAUUUAUAAACUAUUUUGGGGUUUCGUGGAUAUCUCGGCCCCUGUUGUUCAAUUCCAAAUAAUGUGUUGGAAAUACAAUGGUUUAUUAGCACGUGAGUCGUCUGAUGGCUGUUCGUAUUUUCAAACCCAAGUCGUCCACUUGGGAACCUGGUUCAAACCCACUCUAGACACUUAGGAUAGAGCAAAACCAAAACCCUAUUUUAGGUAUGAGCCUAGGACAACCCAAUACUCGAGGGGGUAUUGGGCCUAUUAGAAAACCUACCCUGCUUCUAUUGAUUAUAGAAGAAUCAUAUUUAUGUGUUGAAGAAAUAUAUGUUUGUUUAAUCCAAUCCAUUAUCCUUUGGGGGGUCGGGAUAAGGCUUGCUUUGCUUACUUUCGCAUAAGGAUACCUCAAUCGUACACCGAUUGACGAAGGAAUUGAAGCAAGCCAAGCAAGAAAUUGAUCGAUUUGGACAGUUGCAUGGCAUCAAUAGCACAGUUAUACGGUAAUCGCUUGGUCAUUGACGAAUGUCUCCAAUAUCGAGGAGUGGACAAAGAUGAGAGGGCAAAGGCCGAUAGAAGAAGUAUUCAGGAAUUAGUAUUAUCUAUCUCCUUUGUGGGACAUCAUUUCCUUUCUCAUUUUAUUUUUCUUUCCCNNNNNNNNNNNNNNNNNNNNNNNNNNNNNNNNNNNNNNNNNNNNNNNNNNNNNNNNNNNNNNNNNNNNNNNNNNNNNNNNNNNNNNNNNNNNNNNNNNNNNNNNNNNNNNNNNNNNNNNNNNNNNNNNNNNNNNNNNNNNNNNNNNNNNNNNNNNNNNNNNNNNNNNNNNNNNNNNNNNNNNNNNNNNNNNNNNNNNNNNNNNNUAAAGGUCGUAUACCUUAUGUGCGACUUUUGUAGGCAUUUAUGUCAUUUGUGUAUAUUGGAGGAUAAUGGAUUGGCUUUAAAAAGUGCAUAUAUUUUCUUCAAAGUUCGUCAGGCCUAAACCCUUGGCUUAAAAGGGUCACCCCUAGUUAGGAUACGCAAUAUUAUAAUGUUUAUGUGAUAUAACUGCCUUCUGUGUUUAGGUGUGUUUGUUUGAAUCAAAGACAAGUUUAACCACUACGCUCAUGUGGAUCAAUUUGGCUAUGACACAAACAACUCUACGUGGUUAUUUCUUGACAAAUGUUUUGCAUUACUUAUCACAUAUGGAAACUAACACAUCUGCCUUUGAGUUAUUUUACUUUACAGAUAAUAGAAAACUACUCCGUGUUGAAAUAAGUUGGCAGAACAUCCUUACUUCACCCGAUCAAAAGUGCAUAAAAUCUCAUCUGCUGACCACCAUUCAAAGAUGACUGGAAACGACGAAGAAAAUGUAUUGACUAUCAGCGACAAUGUAAUAAUGGAACAAAACGAGAUGAUUACUGAACUAGCGAGAAAAUUAGAAAUACUUCAGGAGGAGAUGAAUCAUACUCAAGAUUUGGCUAACCUAGCCAUCACUAUCAAUGCUCCCGCUCCGGGAGGACACGGGACUCCACUCCAAAUCCCUCUCCUCAGUACGCCUAUUCUUAGGGACCAUCCAAAUAACAAUUCAUCCAUUUUUGCUCCUCCACUUGUCCAAAAUACCAAUCACGAAAAUAACUCAUAUGCUUACCAUCCACAAAAUUCAUCCCUAAAUCCGUCUCCGAAUCCACAAAAUUCAUUCUCAAAUCUCCAUAAUCCAUUUUCAAAUCCACAAAAUUCGCUCUCAGAUCCACAAAAUUUGCUUCCAAAUCCACAAAAUCCAUCCCCAAAUAUACCAAAUCCAUCACAUCUAUCUCCGAAUCCGCAAAAUCCUUCUCAGAUCCCACCAAACUACUCUUAAAUUCCAUAAAAUUUUUCUAAUUUUCAAAACAUCCUCCCCACCUACCAAUCAACUUUCUCUCAUCCUCAAAAUCAAGCUACCCUUCCAAAUCCCACUUACAUCAUCAUAUCCCCUGACGUCUAUAAUUCUCUUCCUAAUCCCAAGAUAGACCAUUACGAGGAGAAGGAGAAAGAGUAGAGGACCGAGCAUGAAAUAAAAUUAUUGGCUAUAAAUGAAGAGAUUAUGAGGAUCAAGAAAUCUCAUGUGAUGGGGGAUAAUGAUGGCCUAUGUUAUGAUAAUCUAUGUGUUCACCCUGGAGUAGAACUGCCAGAAGGAUACAAGGUCCCUAAAUUUGAAGUGUUCAACGAUACUAGAAAUCCAAUGGCCCAUCUGAGAAGGUAUUGUGAUCAAAUGGUGGGGAAAGAAAAAAAUGAGGCAUUAUUAAUGUGCCUGUUUAGCCGGAGCUUAAGCGACGAAGCCUUAGAAUGGUUCACAUCUCAAGAACUAAAAAGAUGGACUAGUUGGAGGGCAUUGGCUAAGGGUUUCCUCGAUAGGUUUGCAUUUAACAUUGAAAUAGUCUCUGGACGGUACUCACUAGAUCAGAUCAAGCAGAAUAAUGAUGAGUGCUUUCGAGACUAUGCCUUUCAUUGGAGAAAAGAAGCUGUCAAAGUACAACCUCUUAUGUCUAAGGAAGAAAUGGUAUCAAUUUUCUCUUGCGCGCGGGAGGGAAAAUUUUAUACCAGGAUGGUAUCUACGGUCCGACCAACUUUCGCAGAUUUGGUAAAGAUUGGGGAAUCGUUAGAGGAAAGCAUCAUAACAGGAAAAAUUGCCAAAACCUCAACAUCAUCUGAAUCUUCUGCAUUCUAAAAGAAGAAAAGAGAGGAUGUGAUUGCGGUCUCUAAUAAUUCUAUUGAUAAAUUGAAGAAGAAAUUCAAGCCUAGGAAUAUUCUUUCCUCACCGCUGUCACCAAGUUUUCAGCCUAUAUUCUACGCCCAACCCCAAUAUCAAGCUCCACUUCCAAAUAUUUGCCCAGUAUCAAGUUCCACAGUCAAAUUAUCAGUCUCACAUUCAAGCUACUCUUCCAAACAAUCAAAGAAACAUCCAAGCGCCUCCAAACUAUCAUCAAGUACCUCCUCCUACUAAUCAAAAUCAGUAUAACCCCCCACGUAUAAACCUCGCAAAAAAGUCUCCUCAAAACUUCCCUCUAUUGGCUAAAAGUCGUACCCAGCUCUUCGAAAGAUUGAUGAAAGCUAGUUACUUACAGCCUAUUCCACCAAAGCCUUCCAAUCUCAAUUCCCGAUUCUUUCAGGCCGAUCAAUUCUGUGCUUAUCAUUCAGGAGCUCCCGGGCAUAAUACGGAAGAUUGCAUCAAUCUAAAACACAAGAUCCAGGGCUUGAUUGACCAGAAGAUCAUCACUUUUAAGGCACCGAUAUCAAAUGUCACCAGUAAUCCAUUGCCUAAUCAUGAGGAAACUACGGUUAGCAUGACCGAAAUAGCAGGCGAAUGGGUAUUUGGCAAGACUAUUACUAAGGUGGGUCCGUAAAAUUCGAAAAAGAAAAAAGGAGUUAAAAAGAAUUUGAAAGGAAUUAUUGAGCCCAUUGUGGUCCUAAAAAAGCAUUUAAGUGUGGAAUAGGGUACCAACCAAGAAAGGAAGAUGAGAUUAAAGAUAAUUCAAAGAUGAGUCUGUCCAAACCGUCGCCACUCAUGCACCAAUCAUUUCCCAUACAUGAGAUGUCAAAUGAUGAUGGUCUCGGGGAUGGAAUAGGAAAUAUGUUCGAGGAAUGUAAUGCUAUACCAGAAGAUUUCCCGAAGUUCAGUGGGGUGAAUAAGGUUUCACCAAGAGAGGCUUUGCAAAAUUGGACUUUCACUACGCUCCUAAUUUAUCGUUCGUCGAAGUAGAUGAAAUGACAAUUACUAAUGGUUUUAAAAAAUUGGUGAUGAUUCAGAGGAGGCCCCGUGAUCCAUCCUUUUAUGUCUCAAAUUUUUGUUUCAUGUUUUACCGCUUUCAAAAAGGCAUGGGCUCGCAUUUGAGCGGGUCAUGGGCCAUAGUUUUAUUUGUUUUCCAAAAGACCUCCCUUUAUUUAAGAAGUUAUUUUUAAAUAUGAUUAUAUUAUCAUCUUUUAUUAUCUUGUUAUAAUCUAACAUGGUUUAUUUUUGUAGCAAUAAUUUAAAAACCUACCGAUGUCAUGUCAUGUAAAGAUUUAGACGAGCAAAGCAAAGAGAAUAAUGAUGAAUGGGAAGAAGAUGAUGAGGAACAAUUAGUAGUAGAUAUAGAAGAAUUUGAAAAUCGAAAGAAGCCCAACCUGGAGGAGCCCUAAUCCUACCUGAGAUGGAUGGUCAAGAGUGGACCAAACCAAUUAAUUCUGAUGCGGUAAAAAGAUACUAUGUUUGAAAGAUGUUUUAAAUUUUAUCUCCUUUAUUUGUAAUCGCUUUUAUGAUAGUAUUUGUUUUAUGAUAUGUAAUUGCCUAGAAUCCUUUUCCUUGCAUGUACGAACUACGUUUGACCUGAAUUCCCAAGAAAAUGAUACGUAGGCGGCCUAUGUCGGCUUCGGUCAACCCCUUAGGAGAAUUUAUCCUUUAAUUUUAUGUAUGAAGUACGUGACGACCUGAAUUCCCAAAAAAGGGAUACGUAGGUGGCCUAUGUUGGCUUCGGUCAACCCAUUAGAUUUUCUAUAUAUCCUUAGCGUAGUCUUGAACUACGUUUGACCUGAUUUCUGCUUCAACGGGAUACGUAGGCGCCCCAACGGUUCGGUUAUUAACCCCAGGAAAUAGAAAAUGGGGCAGAAUUUUCGAGAAGGAAUCUCAAAAAUUCGCAAUAAUGAAGAUCAUCAUGCAACAAAGAGAGUGAGGAGCGACAAAGACUUCGGAUCCUCUCGAGUUGAUAUCAUCUCAAACAACUUUAAACAGGGGCAGAAAUUUUGAGGAAGGCCUCAAAAUUUCCAUCAAACACUGGAAUAUAUUUUAAAUUCUCCAGCACCAAAGGUCAAAGUCAAACUUUCAAAGUCACCAAUUGCGACAAAGUCUAGGUGGACUUAAUUUUCUGCUAUGACAGAACUUUUGAUAGGAAGCCUCAAUGAUGAUUCCUCUAUUAAACAUUGGAAUAUAGUCAAAAUCAAGAGGAAUACGUUUGUUGAGCUAGUACAUGACAUGACUGGCAGAGAUUUUCUAAAGUUUUUACAGAAACUUUCAGAACUAUUUUCUAAAAUUAAGACUACUUUCAGAAAUCUAUACAAAUCUUUUAUUUAGUAUUUGCCUAGACAUCAAUUGGGACGGAGAGUCAGGGGUAGAAGUCCCAACAUGACGGAGUACCAGAAAGAGCGAGGAGCAAAUCGAGGAUUGAAGGAGGUCAACAAGUUUUGUUUCACUCAAAACUAAUCAUUUUUCUGUGGAUGCAUGGAUCAAUACACAAAAAUGAGAGUCUCUUUCAAAAAUUCCCAAGCAAGUUAGGAGCCAUACCAGAGCAUAUAAUGCUUAAGAACGGUAUUUGAGUAAUCCCCAAACAAGGGUUUUUCCCCUAUUUACUUGCAUCCGGUGGAUUUGCUAUUUAAUCAUUUCCUAAAAAAAAAAAAGCAGAUUGGUAACAGAAUAAACCAUUCAAAUUAUGAUGCUCAGUAUUUGUCAUUAAACUAUCAUAAAGCUAGAUUUUGGUCGCCAGUGAGAGCGACAUUGUGUCUACUAAUUGUCUACCUUGAGUACAGGUACAUGUAGAAAGCAAGACCCAGACAAAUGAACUCAGGUGAAACUGUUUUAAAAUCAUUGAAAAAACCAUUGCAUAUAACUGCCAAGAGAGUCAUCUCAUAUUAUUGCUAAGAGGGCCUUUUCAUAUCAUUGCCAGGAGGGACAUUCAUAUCAUCGCCGAAAGGGCCAUUUCAUAUCAUUGCCAAGAGGGCCAUUCAUAUCAUCGCCGAGAGGGCCAUUUCCUAUCAUUUCUAAGAGGGUCAUUUCAUAUCAUUGCCAAGAGGGCCAUUUCAUGCCAUUGCCAAGAGGGUCAUUUCAUAUCAUUUUCAAGAGGGUCAUUUCAUACCAUUGCCAAGAGGGCCAUUCAUGCUAUUGCUGCCAAGAGGGCCAUUUAUGCCAUUGUCGAGAGGGCCAUUCAAUAUCUAUUGACUCGCGAGACACAAACACUGGCAUUGAGGAUAUCAUCAUCAUUCAAUAUCUGUUAACACGCGAGACACAAACGCUGGCGUCGAGGCUAUCAUCAUCAUUCAAUAUCUGUUGACACGCGAGACAUAAACGCUGGCAUUGAUGAUAUCUCAUCAUUUUUUGAAUCAUCAUCUGAAUGCAUCAAAAGCACGUGAUUCAAAUAGACGUCUUUAUCGCUAUCUAAAAGCGAUCAACAUAUGAGACUUCCUAGAAAUUGAUAAUUUGAGGGUUAUCUAUAAGUCAUAUUAUUUAAAAUAGGAUAGUGUGCAAGAUUACCUAUGAGUUGAUAGCCCGUAGGUCAUUUGUAAGCCGCAAUAACAUCCUAAUCGGAUAGUGUGCAACGUUACCCGAAAAUUGAUAGUCGAAAGGUUAUCCAUAAGUUGCAACUAAAUCCUUACCGGAGAAUAUGCGAGAUUGUCAAAUUGAUAAGUCUAAGGGUUCUCUAUAAGUCGCGUCAUAUCCAAGAUAGAUUAUGUGCAGAAUUACCCAAAGGCUAGCAAUUUGAGAGAUAUCUAUAAGUCAUAUUAUAUCCAAGGUCGGAUGAUGUGCAGGAAUAUCUGAGAACUAGUGAUUGGAAGGAUAUUUGUAAGCCAUCUGUGCAGGAUUAUCUAAGGGUUAGCAAUUCAAAGGAUAUUUGUAAACCAUCUGUGCAGGAUUAUCUAAGGAUAUUUGUAAGCCAUCUGUAAGUCACCUCGUAUCCAACAUCAAAUAAUGUGCAAGAUUAUCCAAAGAUUGACAAUUCAAGGAAAAUCUAUAAGUUGUAUCAGUACAAAAGAUUCGCAAGACUUACCUGAGAUCAUAUGCAAAAAAUUAUUAUCAAUAAUCGGAGAUGUUAUCAUACCACAUACGACAAGCAUUAUAGGUGACCGGAGAGGUUGCCACAUCAGCACAAAAUUAUACGAUUAUAGGGACCGUUAUGCAUAAAGUGUCGUUGGUGUCUAAGAGGGCCAUCCCACUUUGAAGACAUAUUCAACCAACAAAUGAGAUAAUUAUGCAACAACCAAGAAGGUUGUUGUGUCUGUUGUUGCAAGUUAUUUUCCUUCCAAACAGGUAUAUGAAAGGAAUGACUUCGCUUUUCAAGUGACAACUCACGCGGAGAUAUAGUAAAGACUAUAUACCUAUUUCGUGAAUUAUGUUUAGCACUAACACUUUUUGUUUGAAGCAUUAUCGAGAGCAUCCGAGAGGAUGAAAAUCUCAAAUCAAAACCACAGGCUCAGACGACUUUAAAUGGGAUGCAUCACAACGUGGAACUCUUUCUUAGCAACAAAACGGGACAUAGUCUAGAGAGGGACGUCAAACUCUCUGGACAAUGAUCACCACCACCAUCUAACCACACCCCUAUUAGAAGGCAUGUGGGUAUUUUGAGAUAUUCCAGUUUCAGAUUCACCUUCUGGAUAUUUCUAAAUUCAUACUGAGGGUAACCUUCUCUUUCUUUCAAAUUCGGGUGACAACACACCUAGAGUUUUGGAAAAUUAUGUCCAGGUAAAUUCUUACCAAUGGAUGUGAAGAGCUCCACGUUCAUGGUUAAGAGGUUACAAGCCUUUUUUCCACAACUCAAUCAACUCGUCACUCAUUCCGAGCCAAAGAUCAUCUGAAAAUAAAAGACCGUUUUUUCUACCGAUUAAGUUGAACUACAAGCAGUCUGAUUUCCUGAGUCUCAGGGUUAUGUAGGUUGGGCUCUGUGUAGAAAACUGGACUACAUUCCAACUUCCCCCCAAAUUUUCUUAUUCCCUAGUUUCUCAGAUUUAUCAAAAACUCUAAAAUUGAGAUAGCUUGUGAAUUUUCUUGAAAAUUGUGCUUAAAAUCCCUUUGUGGAUUAUCCAAUUUUUUAUUUAUUAGUAAAAUAUAAUAGAAGUUGAGAAAACAGAAAAAUGCGAUCAAACUAAAUAAAGAAAUUAAAAAAAUUAUGGAAAAAAAGGAAAGAAAAAACAUAAAGAUCAAGAAAAAAAUGAAGAACUAAAAAAAUUGAGAAAAAUAAAAAUGAAAGGAAAAAUAAAAAUAAAGUUUGAAAAAAAUGAGAAAAAAAGAGAGAACUAAAAAAAAAAAACGAUCAAACAAAAUAGAGAAAUAAAAAAAAAGAGUGAGAAAAAAAAAGGCAAGAAAAAAAUAAAGAUUAAAAAAAUGAAGAAUUAAAAAAUUUGAGAAAAUAAAAAAUGAGAGGAGAAAAUAAAAAUAAAGUUUGAGAAAAAUGAGGGGAAAAAAGGAGAACUGAUAAAAACCAAAAAUAAAAGAAAAAUAAAGAUUUAAGACAAAUGAAUUAAAAAAAAAUAGAUAGUGCUUGAGAAAAAAAAAGUUUGAGACAAAUGAGUUAAAACAUGAAAAUAAAAUUAAAGGAAAAAAAUAAAAAGUGAAAAUAAUAAAAUUAAAGGAAAAAAUAAAAAAGUGAAAAUAAUAAAAAAUAAAAUUUGAGAGACAAAUAAGUAUGGAAAGUCUUAAAAAUAUAUUUGAGGUGUACAGGGUAAAAUGAUACUUGUACAAUACUUAAAAAGUAAAAAAGAUUAUUCUUUAAAAACAUUUCUUAUUGGGAUCAAAUAUCUAAAGUUACUCGUAUUUGGAUCUAUGACAUGCAAUUUCAUGUGCAAUCUAUGGUUUCAAGAUUUAUUUUGUUUGCACAUUCAAAACUUUAUGGGCCGGGGCUUGUUAUGGACCUAAUGCCCCUAGUACAAAUGGUGGAAUGUUGAAUAGAAGUGCCUUAUAAACCAGGCUUAUUUCUCUCUUUCUUUUUCAGUUCUUUUUUCCAACUUAUUUUUUCUUUAUGUGAAAUGAUUAGUCUAGCUAUCUAUGAAUGAGUAGAAUAAUUAAGUAGAUCUGAAGCAAGUUUUUGACACAAGCAUAGUUGGAUAUAUAGGACGAGCCCCUAGAUAACCCUAGGUGAUGUAAACCAUAUUAGGCAAGCCUUAUGCGACAGACACAACUCAAAAGACAUUGAGGAGGAUCGAACCUGGGUCAUCCGUGUGGAUAACCACCCUUUAAACCAAAUGUGUCAUCCGAAGGACUGGUCGACCUUUGUUUUCAAUUAUGUUUAGUGACUAUAGCAAGUUAAAAGAAAAAAAGAGGAAGUGAAAAAUACAGUUUAGAUCAGAAUUGUCCAAGUCGAAGAUGGGUAAGCUCGACAAGUGAGUUAUAUCCCUAUCUUCCACAAGAUGUUGACAAAGCAAACGAUCUGAAUUAGUCGAUGAUGUAUUUCAGUAACAAGUUAGGAUACCUAGACUUCUGAAACCAUGAUUAUAAUUAUGUAAAAUGGAGAGAUGGAUUCGGGAUUUAAAGAUUAGGAGUGUCGCAUCUGCUUUUAUUUAUUUGGUUCGGAUGGGAUAAAUAUUUGGUCGAUUUUGGGCUUCGAACCAGUUCAUUCAUUUUUUUGAGUUACAUAGACAAAUAUAUAAUACAAAAAAUUAUGACAACUUAAUUCAAAAGAAAAGACUUUCAACAAUAUUAGUACUCCCGUUUCAUUUUAAUUGAUCCUCUUUCUAAAAAAUAUUUGUUUUAAUUUAAUUAUUCCUAUGAUGAAAUCAAGAGGAUUUUAUUAUGUUUUUUCAAUACUACCUUAGCAUUAAAUGACUAAACAAAGUGUAUAUAUAUUCAAAUCUAUAUUUUCAAAAUAUAAUUAAUAAAUCUAAAUUCAUAAAAUAAACCUCUAAGAAAUACCUUUUUAAGGAGAGUAUUAAGUAAAAUUUAAAAAUGACAUUAAUUAGAUAUUAUAAAUAUAAUAAUCUAAUAAUUGGAGGAAGAAGGUGAAAAAACGAUUUUGUCUAUUGUGAAGCCUUUUAAUGAAGGACAAAAGUUCAAAUAAUAUUUAUAAGGUCCUUCACACUAUUAAUAUAGUAUAGAUAGAUUAGAUAUCGUUUGAAUUGUAAUUAAUUAAAAUUUAGACUAAAUAAGAUACUUAAGAGUUUAUGUAUGUUCAGUUAUGUAGUUUUUUCUUUUAAAUAUUUAUUUUUUGUGAGAUGAAAUAAAAAAUAAAAUAAACAAUAUAUUGAAAAAAAAUCCGGCUUCAAUUUUUACAAGCUAAUUAAUUUUCUUAGAUAAAAUAAUUAUGAAAAUACUUUAUAAUUUUAGUGAAACAACAUAAAAAUACUUUCAAAAUAUUAAAUAUAAUUUAACAAAAAUAAAUUUGUAUUUUAUCGUGGCUUUCUAGUUUCGAAGUCACGAUUCGAUGAUUAUAAAUUUUUUGACCAGUUUGUUAGAAUAACAUUAUAUGACGAUCUCAAUAAUUUUUAUUUAUUUACUUAAUCUUUGCAUACAGUUGAAUUUUCAAUCAAACCUUUAUAAACUCAACAUGCGAGUUAUUUAGAUUCAAGAUAAAAACUACACUAAUUUUUUUUAAGUCAAACUUAAUUAAUUUACAGUUGAAAUAUCACGUUGAUAGCUAUCAAUUGACUUGCUAUUUAAAGGCGGUUUUCUUUUGUUUGUACAUAAAAUAAAAAUGAAUUUAAUUUUAAAAGUAAUCAUAUUUGGAUUUAUGUUGACUAUAAAUUUAGCGACUGAACUAUCACUAUUUUCAAUUCCAAAAAUUUCAUUCAUGAUUUCUCUUAAAUAUUUUUGUUAUAUUGGAUUCUUUUUGUUUUUAAUUUAUAGGAGGAAUUUUGUAGAUUAGAUAAUGGAGGAUUCAAAAUUAAAAAAAAAAAAAAAUUUAAAAAUCUGUAUAGUAAAAUAAUUAAAGAGAUAGAAGUAUUGGAGGAAAAAAUAUAUAAUACAAGUAAAAAAUGACGAUUAAAAAUUUUCAAAUUAGAUGAGAGAGCUUAGAAUAAGUAAGGAAAAAAUAGAAUGAAAAACUAAAAAUAUAAAGAGUAAAUAUGAAAGAAUAAUAAAAAAUAAGAAAAUAAGAAAAAUAUGAAAGAAUAAUAAAAAAUAAAAGUCAAAGUGAUUUUGUUUUUGGAGGGAAAAAUAAAUGAUUUUGGUGCUUAAAGUAGGUGGUUUUGCAUUUUGGAGGGAAAAAUGUGGUUUUGAAGCCAAAGGGCAAAGUAGUCUUUCUACAAAUUUCGAGUCAUUCGAGUCAAAUGCUCUUUGAGUCAUUUAGCAGCACCCAAUACAAAAACCUCCAUUGAAGUUUAGGAUUAUAGUACGGGUACUAUUUUUAACAUGGUUUAUAAACUUUAAAGAUAGGAUUCUUUUUUCAAAAAUAUACAACGGAAAAUAAAAUAUUAUAUCAACUCAGUCAUAUUGUUAGUUUAUAUCACACUAGUAUUAGCACCCGCGCGAUGCGCGGAAUAUAUUUUCAUAAAAGUAUCGUUAAAAAAAAUACUAACUUAUUCAUUAAAAAUAAUAAAAGUAAAAUUUUAAAAAUAUCUAUUAUAUCAUAAUACCAUAUUUUAGAUUGAUUAUUGAAUAUUAAAAAUAAUUGUUAAUAAUAAAACUAUAAUUAAUUGUUAAUUAUAAUCACAAUCACAAUUAUUUUUUACAUUUUGCUAUCAUGCAUAACAGAAAUGAUAAGAUAAGUAUGCAUAUUAGAAGAAGAUUCCACUAUAAUCUUAUCUGUUAGAAUUAGAUAUGAUUUAAAAUUCAAGCUAUACACAUUCACACUUAUGGAAGAUAAUCUUAUUUCAUAUUCAGAUUUGUUAAUUCAUAUUUUUUAACUUUGUCUUUUUAGAUGAAAAAUAAUUUAAUAAUAUAUAAAAAAUUAAAAAUAUUGAAGAAGAACCACAAAAUAUUACUUGUUGAUACAAUAUAAACGACACACAAAAUCAUUAAAGAAAAUUUACACAUAAAUAUAAAUUUGCAGCUAAAAUCAUGAAAAUAAUAAAUAAAUAAAUAAAUAAAUUAAAAUAUAUAAAUGCCUAUAAAUAUAUUUUAGAAUUCCUCUUAGAAGAGAGUAAAUAUGUAAAAGUGAUAAUACUGUUCUAGAGUCAUCUUCAUGCUUAAGAGAAAUUUAUUAAGAUAAAUAAAAUAAAAUAUAAUAAUAUUGUACGCAUACAUAUAUUAACCAUAAAUAAUAAUAAAUUAUUUUAAAAAUUAAAUUAUGAAUCUUGAAGUCAAAUCUGAAAUUAAAAAUACAAGUUUUUGAAGUAGCAAUUUUUGAUUUAUGAAAUUGUGUUUUAAAAAAAUAAAUGUGAGUGACGGUCCCCAAAAAACGAAAAAGAAGUCUAGGACAAUUUAUAAGAGCUUAAAAAUCAAAAUCUGGUCAAUUUUUUAUGACGAAACGAUAAAUUUUUAAAAUCUACUUUCAAAUAUAUGAUAAAAUGGUAUGCAGACAUGUUGGUUUCACCAAUCUAACACAACUGCCGGAACGACUUCUCUACCAUUCCAAUGUCUGUUUGUUUUGCAUAUGCUUUUUGGACCAGGAAAAUAGGCCUUAUAUUUGUCUCGUAUUAUCAAGUCGAUCCUUCUACAAGUGAAAAAGAUAACAAUACCCUUGCUUAAAAGGAAAGGAUACAUAUAGUUAUAAGUGGAACAUACUAAAUUCAUGACUUUAGGUGCAUGGAACAUCAAGAUUCAAGAAGCUUUCCUAGCAAUAAAGUGAAGCAUUGAACUAAAGUCCUGGAUUGCAAGACAACUGUAUUACCUCUCCUAUUUGUCUGGAGAGGUAAUGCAGUUGUCUAGCAAUCCAGGAAAUUUCAUGUUAUAGACUCAAUAUGGAUGACUUUAGAUAUUUGACCCCAAUAAAAAAUAUUUUUAAAGAAUAAUUUUCUUUACUUUUUAAGUAUAGUACAAUUAUCAUUUUGCACAUAUACACCUCAAAUAUAUUUUUAAACUUUCCAUACUCAUUUGUCUCUCAAAUUUUAUUUUUUAUUAUUUUCACUUUUUUAUUUUUCUUUAAUUUUAUUAUUCUAUUUUUUAUUUUUUUCACUUUUUAUUUUUUUCUUUAAUUUUAUUUUCAUGUUUUAAUUCAUGUGUCUCAACCUUUAUUUUUUUCUCUUUUGUUUUUCUCAAGCAUUAUCUAUUUCUCUUUUUUUUUCUUUUUUUAAUUCAUUUUUCUUUAGCCUUUAUUUUUUUUAUUUUUGAUUUUUAUUAGUUCUCUUUUUUUUUGCUCAUUUUUCUCGAACUUUAUUUUUAUUUUUCUCAUUUUUUUAAUUCUUUAUUUUUUUCUUAUCUUUAUUUUUUUCCUUGCCUUUUUUUUUCAAUCUCGUUUUUUUAUUUCUUUAUUUUGUUUGAUCGUUUUUUUCUUUUUUUCAGUUCUCUUUUUCCCUCAUUUUUCACAAACUUUAUUUUUAUUUUCCUCUCAUUUUUAUUUUCUCAAUUUUUUUAAUUCUUCGUUUUUUUCUUUUCUUUUUUUUCUCAAACUUUUUUUUAUUUCUUUAUUUUAUUUGAUUUGUUUUUUCUUUUUUUCUCAACUUCUAUUAGAUUUUGCUAGUAAAUAAAAACUUGGAUAAUCCACAAAGGAAUUUCUUUUUUUGACAUCAAAGUAAAUUUAAGGGCAUGAAAUUGUUGUUACGAAGUUCUUUGAAAUUUUUUGAGAUAAGUUGUGUCUCUAAGGCAUGAAUUGUAGAAUAUCUCAUAAAUAAAGACAUAAUGUGGUAGUUUCAAUUCUUGCUCGUGGGACAUAAUUUAUUAUUUGAAAGUCCUUGAGCUAAGUUUUGUCUCUAAGGCAAUAGUUGUGGAACAUCCCGUAAAUGAAGACAUAACGUGGUAGUGUCAAUUCUUGCCCGUGGGACAUAAUUUGUAGUUUGAAAGUCCUUGAGCUAAGUCUUGCCCCGAAGGCAAUAGUUGUGGAACAUCCCGUAAAUGAAGACAUAACGUCGUAGUGUCAAUUCUUGCCCGUGGGGGCAUAAUUUAUAGUUUGAAGUCCUCGAGCUAAGUCUUGUCUCUAAGGCAAUAGUUAUAGAACAUCUCAUAAAUGAAAAUAUAACGCGGUAGAGUCAACUCUUGCCCAACAACAACUACAACAACAACAAACCCAAUGUAUUCCCACAAAGUGGGGUCUGGGGAGGAUAAGAUGUACGCAGUCCAUAUGCUACCUUCGAAGAAGUAGAGAGGUUGUUUCCGAGAGACCCCCGGCAAGAGUCAACUCUUGCCCGUCAACUCUUGUCCGUGAGGCUAAUUUGUAGUUUGAAAGUCCUUGAGCUAAUUAAAUCUCUAUUUUUCAUGAAAUUCACUAGUUAUUUAUAGGCAUAAUACAUAAACAAGACCUUUAACUUGACAUCAAAUUAAAACUAUAACCUUUUAACUUUACCAGUACAUAAGUAGAUCCUUUAAUUAUAUAAAAACUUAACAAAAAGAACACUCCAAUUCUACAACUUAUAUCACAUGCGUGAAACUCAAUCGCUCCUAUUCUACAACUUAUAUCACAUGCGUGAAACUCAAUCGCUCCUAUGUGGAUUAGUAAUCCACUCAGAUGCUGCCACCUAAUAAAAAUACACAUUAUAACUACGAUCUUUAAAUUUGUCAGUGCACAAAUAGGCCCUUUGACUAUACAAAAGCUGAACAAGAAAAUACUUCAAUUCUAACUCUAACGCACGUGGUUUUGAGUAUAUACACGCAUUUUGCCGGGUAGGAUUAAAAUGGUUUUUUUUCAGCUUUUGUAUAGUUAAAGUAUCUACUUGUACACUGAUAACGUUAAACAUCAUAGUUUGAUGUCAAGUUAAAUGUCUUGUUUAUGUAUUAUGCCUUAUUUAUAUUAUAUAAAUACGUCAUAUUUAAGUAACAAAGAAAAUAUAAUGAGGUCAAAGAAUUCCACAUAUAUAAUUUAAGUAAUAGGAACGAAGUCAUAUUUGUAUGUCUUCACUCGUAAUAACUAAGAAUUCAAAGAGACUAAAGAAAUCAAAUGAAAUCUUGUCUAGUUCCUAUGUCAUUUCAGUUGCGAUAGUAUAUUUUAUAAAAUAAAAUCUUCAAAAAGAUUUAAAUUUCCAUAGUUAAACUAAUUUUUUCAUGUACAUUCAAAUUAUUUAAAUAAUAGAACAAAGAGUAAGAGAAUGAUUUUUAAAAUUUUGAAGAAGCGAGAGGGAAAAAAAUUAUUAAAAUUAGGAAAUUAUGCAUAUUUCAUGCUUAAUAAAAAAGGAAAACAUUAAGUUCAAAACUUUUACUCUUAAAAUAUUUGAUUACACACGAAGAAUCAAAGGUGAGCCACCUAAGAAUCGAAGUCGCGCCUUUACGAGUACAAACUUGAACAUCUACCACCAGCACCGUCUGCUCCAUGCGACAAUGGGUGGCAAGCACUUUAUUUCGCCCCCGAUAAAAUCUGUCAUAUUGACUUGUCAAUAAUAACAUUAUUACAUGCUCAAUUUGGAGCGAGGUUUAAAACGGAAGGGGAACAGCUAGCAGAGGACUCGAUCUCGCUAAUGUAAUCCCAAACUUCUCUUCCACAUCCAAAUCUUCUGGUUUAAUAUCGCCUUCAGGUUUCCAAUCAAAUGAAUUCAACAACGAACCCAACAUCACAGUAAGUGUCCUGGCUGCCAAAGGUAAUCCUGGACAAAUUCGUCUACCAGCUCCAAAUGGAAUGACUUCAAAAUCUUGGCCACGAACGUCCAAUUUUGAACCCCAAAAUCUCUCAGGCUUAAAUGUCAGAGGAUCCUCCCAUAUAGCUGGAUCACGGGCAAUUGACCGUACGUGCACCAACACUUGAGAGUCUUUUGGAACAACAUAGCCACACAGCUCUACGUCUUGAUCGACUUUGUGAAACAUAAUGGGAUCUGGUGGGUGCAUCCGCAAUGUUUCUUUCACUAUGCACUGCAAAUAAGGGAGACGGGCUACGUCCGCUUCUUCUAUUGCCUUGCCCCUGCCUAUAACUUCAGCAAGUUCAUCUUUAGCUUUUCCCACUAUGUAUGGUUGUCUCAUGACCUCUACCAUUGCCCAUUCGAAUGUAUUUGAAGUUGACUCAGUUCCCGCCAUAAAAAGCUCCUGCAACAUAACUAAAGCUAAGGGAUUCCAAAAAUUGAAAAAUAGGAAAUCUGCACUAUCAAUGUGAUAAAUCAUUACUACAUUCUCAGGUAAAUUGAUGGUUAUUGUAGCUCUUUUCUUUGUAAAUUAGCCAUCUCUUUUUCUUUCUUUUUUUUGAUAAUUGUGGUGCCGGACGGCUUACGCACACAAAUCCCACCAGCAACAAGUAUAGAUAACUCUGUCCACAAAGGUUAGAACAGAUGAAAAGAAAUCGCCUAAUGUUUAUAAAUUAGCUAUCUCUUAUGCGGUAGCAAGUAUGUAAUGGACUUACGGGUUCUUUUAUGACUCUGAGGCAGUAAGCAACGUGUAUUAUUUUCAACAUAAAAAGAACCUUCCCCUAAUAUCUGUUACACUAAAUGUUAUGAAUAAUAACUCUCUGCAGUUUGGCCAAAGAGUAAAAUGAUUGCAGAUCCUAUAGGAAGAAGUUAAAAUGAUGAGAAUGAUAUCAAUUAUAGCAGCAUACGGUAACAAGAUAAGGAGCUAGGGCAGAUAAAAGAAAUUGAGAGUACCAGAAAUAAGCGUUCGAUGUGAUUUCUGUCAAUUUCCUGAGGAUCUUCUUUGCUGAUAUUUAACAGAACGUCAAGAACAUCAGUGCUACCUGUAGUUUCUGAUAUCGUCCUUUGGUCCAAUCGUUCAUCAAUUAAUCCCUGAAUAUGCUGAAGCAACUCACCCACAUGCUUGCCUGUUCGUCGCCUUAUUCCUUGAGGAUCAAUUGAUUUUAAGAUGGGGAAAUAAUCAGCCAAAUUGGGCUUACUGGCUUCUUCCAUGAUGUUCGACACCAUAUCCUUGAAUUGUUUACCUGAAUCUGUAUAAGGGUCCACGACAUCCUUGGAAAAAAAGGUAUUCGAGAGUAAAUUCAUAGAGGUGUCGAAAGCAGCUUGGCGUAUAUUCACUGCCUCACCAGUUUGGCUACACCGAUGACAAUAAGCAAUAAGAUCUUGGAUCUUUGCAGACCUAAGAACAGAUAUGACCAAAUCAACUUUCUUUUAUAACUCUAUCAGUACCAAACUCAUCAAAUUAAUUGAUCAUAGUAUUAUAACUGCAUGUAUGGGUCAAAAUGCAACUCAAACAUUUAAAAGAGAGAUUGAAAUUGUCAUAAAAUUUGGCUUGACCAAACAAUUUGCCACGCUACCUGAGAUGUUGGUUGGCAUCAAGCCUGCUGACGGAGAAGAUACACGAAUUCAAGAUUUUCCUCAGGCUUCUCCACCGAUUAGCGACGGGUAGCCAUUGCACAGAGAAUUUGGAGAGAUUUUGGGCAUGGAAUGCAUCUGGAACUGAUCUGCUAGAAAAGGCCAUAUCUUGCUUUUGUAAGACCUCUUUAGCAACGUGUGAUGAAGAUAUGACCACUGUAGUUAUUUGACCCAACCUAAGGCUGAUAAUUGGGCCAUACUUUUCGGCAAGCUUUGCAAGAGAGUUAUGAGGCUGAUCACCAAGAAGGUUGUGAAGAUUUCCAAUCAAGGGCAAGGGAUUUGGUCCUGGUGGAAGUUUCUUGUUACAUCUUUUGCUUAUUGCUAGCCAGCGAAUGCACUGAACCAAAGUCCAGGCAAACAGUAAUCCAACUACAAUGCCUACAUAAUCCAUUGGUAAUUUUCUCUGAACAAGCUAGUGAUCACUCAGGGUCCAUUAAUUAUAAUGCUAGUAGUCGGUCAGUCACACAGGUCGUUGGGGAAAAUUAUAUUAUAAUCAUUUUUUUCGAAUCAUGACAACUAAUCUACUAUUUAAUAGUUAAUGCGCAUCUGUCGUAUCUGUCUACUGUAAGACUACUACAGAUUAAAAAAAUUUGGGAAAGAAGAUACCCUCCAUCUAGCAGUACGGGUAUUAAGGGGGACUAGGGAGCUAAAUACAAAAGGGAGAUUAUAUUUGAUUCGGGGAAUUUUAUCUCAAAUGGCACUUUGCCCGAUAAAUCCGUAAAUAAAGUAACAAGUAAGGUUGAUAUUGUCUUUUCACCUUUUUUUCAUAUCCAAAAAUAACCUUUCUUAAUUAGAAACUACCCGAUUUUAACCAAAUCACUACCUCAAAAUUUUAAAAAUUGACUGACAUUGUCCCUUUCUUGUCCCCACUUUCUCCUUCCCCUUAAACCCCUUUCCUCUUCACUUAUUACUCAUGAAACCAUCUUGGAGAACGAAAAUUAUAGUGCUAGUACUCACUCAUUUAAAACCAUCUUGGAGAACGAAAAUUAUAGUGCUCCAUUUAAAACUAUCUUGGAGAACGAAAAUUUUAGUGCUAGUACUCAACUCAUUUAAAACUAUCUUGGAGAACGAAAAUUAUAGUGCUCCAUUAAUUACAGUGCUAGUAGGAGUACUCUGCUAGUAGUCGGUCAGUCACUCAUUUAAAACUAUCUUGGUGAACGAAAAUCUGUCAUUUAAAAAAUGAUGAAUACAGUUAAUGCGUAUCUGUCUACCGUAGACUACGACGGAUUAAUUAAAAAAAUUUGGGAAAGAAGAUACCCUCCACCAAGCAGUACGGUUAUUAAGGUAGACUAGGGAGCUAAAUACAAAAACCUCCAUUGAAGUUUAGGAUUAUAGUACGGGUACUAUUUUUAACAUGAUUUAUAAAGUUUAAGAUUUGAGAGAGGAUGGUUGAACAGAAAUUGAGAAAGCUCGUGUCUAUUUCGGAGAAUCAGUUUGAUUUUAUGUCUGAUCGUUCGACGACGAAGGCAAUCCACCUGGUAAGGAGAUUAGUGGAGCAGUAUAAGGAAAGAAAGACGGAUUUGCCCGUGGUGUUCAUUGACAGUUCUUUGGAGAUGCUUAGAGGCAAGAGGGGUCCCGGUGGUGUACAUUAGAACUAUUAAGGACUUGUACGAUGAAAGGAAGACUCGGAUGCGAACGGCGGGGGGACUCGGCAGGGAGGGGGGGUGAAGGGGGGACUCAGAGCAUUUUUCAGUCGAGACAGGGUUGCAUCAUGGUUCAACUCUUAGUCCUUUUCUGUUUGCGUUGGUAUUGAACGUGUUGACGCAGAGUAUUCAAGGGGAGGUACCUUGGUGUAUGUUGUUUGCGGACGAUGUAGUGUUGAUUGAUGAGACGAGCGGGGGGUGAACGAAAAAUUGAAGGUUUGGAGGCAAACUCUUGAAUCUAAAGGGUUCAGGUUGAGUAGGUCCAAGGCGAAAUAUAUGGAAUGCAAGUUUAGUGACUUGAGGCAGGAGGAAGAUGUGGUGGUGAGGUUGGAUUCCCAGGAUAUUUAUAAGAGUGAUAGUUUUAAGUAUUUUGGGUCUUUGAUUCAAGGGAAUGGUGAGAUAGAUGAGGAUGUCUCUAACCGUAUUGGAGCAGGUUGGAUGAAAAGGAGGCUCGCUUCGGGAGUGUUGUGUGAUAAGAAGGUCCUAGUUAAGCUUAAAGACAAAUUCUACAGAGUGGCAGUCCGGCCAGCUAUGCUCUAUGGAGCAGAGUGGUGGCCAGUCAAGAACUCCCACAUUCAAAAAAUGAAGGUGGCGGAAAUGAGAAUGUUGCGUUAGAUGUGUGGACUCACUAGAGAGGAUAGAGUUAGGAAUGAGACAGUCCGGGAGAAGGUGGAAGUGGCUUCAGUGGAGGACAAGAUGCGGGAAGGAAGACUGAGAUGGUUUGGGCAUGUGAUGAGGAGGACCACAGAUGCCCUAGUUCGUAGGUGUGAGAGACUAACGUUGGAUGGCUUCAAGAAGAGUAGAGGUAGGCCGAAGAAGUAUUGGAGGAAAGUGAUUAGACAUGAUAUGGAGCAGCUUCAGCUUACCGAGGACAUGACCCUAAAUAGGAAGGUGUGGAGGUCGCGAAUAAAGGUAGAAGGAUAGAUUGUGUGCGUGGGUUGUAGCUAGUAGUUAGAAGAGCCCUGAUAUAGCCAGGUUACUAAUCCUAUGGUUGUGUCCAUAGGUAAGAGCUCCUAGUCAGGAGGGUUUGGGUGUGGAGGGUGUCUCUGGCCUGUGAGUGUCUGUUACUACUAGGUGGGUGUCGUUUUCCGGAUGCCCUAUUUCUUAUCUCUUAUUGCACAUUGCACUUGGUUACCUUAUCUCAUACUGCUUUGAUUUAUAUUUAUGUCUUAAUCCUUUUUAUGUGAUGUUAUCCAUCUUGCUUCAUGUUUCAUUACGUUUUUGUUUAUUAUUCCUUAUCUUAAGCCAGGGGUCUAUCGGAAACAACCUCUCUACUUCUUUAGAGGUAGCGGUAUGGACUGCGUACACUUUACCCUCCCCAGACCCCAGUUUGUGGGAAUACACUGAGUUUGUUGUUGUUGUUAUUGUUGUUAUAAAGUUUAAAGAUAGGGAUUUUUUCUCAAAAAUAUACAGCCGAAAACAAAAUAUUAUAUCGAGAUCAUACCCAAUUACCCCCUGAACUAUACUCAAAAAAGUUGUGACACACCUCAACUUAAAGGGGUCCUAUUACCCCUUGAACUAAUUAAAAGUGUAAUUUUGACACACUUAGUACCUACGUGGCACAACACACUGAAGUGUCCACAUAGGCACACGUGUGUGCCAUGUAUGUGUCACGUAUGUGCCACAUAGGCACUAAAAGUGCCAAAAUUAUACUUUUAAUUAGUUCAAGGGUAAUAGAACCCCCUUUAAGUUGAGGUGUGUCACAGCCUUUUUGAGUAUAGUUCAGGGGUAAUUGAGUAUUUUCUUUAUUAUAUCAACUCAGUCAUAUUGUUAGUUUAUAUCACAUAGCCAACUUAUAUUUUUAUAAAGAGGCCGUAAAAUAUUCCUUUUUUUCCUAAAAAAAAAAAUCACUUUAUAAAAGUUGUGGUGUUUGACCAUGAAAAUUUCAAAAAUAAUUUUUUUAAAAAUAAUUCACUUUUUUUCAAUUUCAAUUUUAACUUUUAUUAUUAUUACAUAUAACUUCAAUUUUUAUUAUUAUUACAUAAAAAUGUUGGAUACUAAUAUGUUUCUUAAAUGGCUUCUUGUUCUCGUCGUGGGAUUACUACAUUGGAGAAUGCUUGAUUCACUAUUAUGUUUUUGCUAGAUCAUUCAUAGAGUUUAUUGUCUUCAAUUUGUUAUCUUUGCAAAUUGUUUAACUUAAUUAUUAUUUGGCCUAGAUUUAGAAUUAAAACUUAAAGAGCAUUUGAACUUGAUAUCAAAGCUGAAGAGAAAGGAGAGGGACAAAAUAUGUAUAUCUAAUUGAAUCCAUAUGGUAAUAUAUAGACCUUAAAAUAAGGCUUAAUUGUGAUUUGUGUCUCUCCUAAUCAACAUCUAAUUCCUCGGUUUUACUUGCAGCAUGUCUUCGCCAAAGCUCUCUAGGCUAUUAAAAAUUAUCCCUACACCAAAGCUGCAUUAAUUGUUAAUUAGUGCUAAUCAGGCAAAUGUUAUCAGUACCAGUGCAUCAUAAGAAACGCAAGAAAGCAGUUCACCUGUAAAAGCGAUGCUACAAAAUGUGAAGCCACCAAAUUGUUAAUUGGUUAUUUGGUUUAUUGUUUUAUAGUUAUUUGAUUAGCUGGUGUUACAAAAGGGAUAACACCAUAACAAAAUUAUUUGGAUCCUUCUCAUUAUUUAAGAAUCACAUUUGGUUGUAUGUUAGUAGGUAAAUUAGUUAGUCAGGUUAUUUUGAUAAUUUUUAAAAGUUGAGGGAAUAAAAUUAUAUUCAAAAAAGACUUUUCAAAAGUCUAAAAAAAAAAUCUUCAAAAAGACAUGACCAAACACAACUCCAACUCCAACUUAAAAAAAAAAUAGUUUUCAUGAUCAAACGCCCAGUUAAUUCCUCAAAAUGUCGUUGAACUUGUGUAAACAUCUAACUAAAGUAACUUUUGUUUCUUUUAGGACAAUAUUGUCACUGAACUAUGCACUUCUUUCCAUUUUAAGGUAAAACUAAGAAAUUGUUAAAGAUAUGCUGGAGAACCAAAAGAAAAGUGAAAUUAGAUGUAAUUACAUAGUCCAAUUCUCAAUUAGGAAUAGAGAAUUAGGUGCAAUUACGUGAUGUAAUUACAAAGUUACAUUUUAUUUCUUUUUUUAAUUUUAAUUUUUUUCUUUUAAUUUUAAUUUUUAUUUCUAUUAUUUUGAUUUUUUUUCAUUUUUCAUUAUUUAUCUUUCAUCUCUUUUCUUCUCAUUUUCCAACCUUUACUUCUUAUAAUUCAAUAUAAUUACUCGUAUUUUUUUCUUCAUUUAGCGCAUUAUUGCAUUUUUAUUCUAGUAUUUGAAUUAAAGUAGUAUUUCAUUAUUGAAUGAGAUGACUUAUGUGUUUUUCCUUUCUUUUAAAUUAUUUACUCGUUGGAAUUUUAUAUAANNNNNNNNNNNNNNNNNNNNNNNNNNNNNNNNNNNNNNNNNNNNNNNNNNNNNNNNNNNNNNNNNNNNNNNNNNNNNNNNNNNNNNNNNNNNNNNNNNNNNNNNNNNNNNNNNNNNNNNNNNNNNNNNNNNNNNNNNNNNNNNNNNNNNNNNNNNNNNNNNNNNNNNNNNNNNNNNNNNNNNNNNNNNNNNNNNNNNNNNNNNNNNNNNNNNNNNNNNNNNNNNNNNNNNNNNNNNNNNNNNNNNNNNNNNNNNNNNNNNNNNNNNNNNNNNNNNNNNNNNNNNNNNNNNNNNNNNNUGACGAGUAAAUAUAAUUCAGAAGAACGAAAAACACAUAAGUCUAUAAUCUCAUUCAAUAAUAAAAUACUACUUUAAUUCAAACACUAGAAUAAAAAUUAUAAAAAUUCAAUAAUGUGCUAACUAAAGAAAAAAAUGUAUGCGUAAUUAUAUUGAAUCAUAAGAAGUAAAGUUGGAAAGUGAGAAGAAAAGAGAUGAAAGAUAGAUAAUGUAAAAUGAAAAAAAGGUAAAAAUAAAAAAGAAAUUAAAAUAAUAGAAAUAAAAAAUAAAUUUAAAAGAAAAAUAUAUUAAAUUUUAUUUUUAAAAAAAUAAAUUUAAAAUGUAACUUUGUAAUUACAUUACGUAAUUGCACCUAAUUCUCUAUUACUAAUUGGGAAUUAGACUAUGUAAUUACAUCUAAUUUCACUUUCCUUGUGGUUUUCCAAACAUAUCCUUAACAAUUUCUUAGUUUUACCUUAUAAUGAAAAGAAGUACAUAGUUCAGUGACAAUAUUGUCCUAAAAGAAAAAAAAGUUACUUUAGUGGGAUGUUUACACAAGUUCAAUGACAUUUUGAGGAAUUUACUCGUCAAACACUUACAAAGUAUGUCUACACAUGAUAAACAUUAUACAUUUACUUUACACAAUGUAUCAAUCAAAAAUGAAUCAUGUGAAAAUGAAUAAAAUAUCCUAUCCAAUCCAUAGUUGAUAUGAACAAAAUAAGUAAACACAAUAGAUAAUAUGGACAUUAUCUCUUAUUAUGUAAAGAAAAACGUACUCCUAUAUUACAAAUAUUUUUUCUUCUUUUUCUAAUUUUAGGGCGUGUUUGGUAUGGAAGAAAUGUUAUGUUUUUCUAAAAAAUAUUUUCUCGAAAAUAAAUGAUCUUAAAUUGGGGUCGUGAUUCGAAGUCAAAAUUCGAAUUUUUGAUAUAGUUGGAAGUUUGAUUUUGAUUGUGGGUCGAGUCUUGGGUUGGGGUUGUGAUUUGAAUCUCGAGUCAUGAAUUUGUGUUGAGAUUUGGAUCUCGGGUUUGUAUCAGGAGUUAGACCUCAAGACGAAUUUGGAUAUUUGGCCUCAAAACAUGAGUUUGAGUCUCGAGUCCAGAUUGUAGUCGUGUCUCAAAGUGGGGUAAUAGUGGAAUUUGAAUUUUGGAUCUCGGAUUAGUGUCCAUAUAUGUGUCUCAAGUCGGUGUUGUAUCUUGGGUCGGGCUCAUAGUCAAGACCCGGAUCCUCGAUCGGGGUUAUAAUCGGAUCUUGAAUUAGGUUAGAUAUCGCGUUCUGGAUCUCGAGUCGAAAGUCGGGUCCAGGUCUUCGUUUUACGUCUUGAGAUAAAAAAUAAUUUAAAAAUAAAAAAGUCAAUUUAAAAAAAAAAUUAAAAUAAAAAAAUUAAGAAAUUAAAAAACAGAAAAAAUAUUUUCCAUUUCUCUUAAAAAUAUUAAAAAAUACUUUUCUUCAUUCCAAACACACCUACGUCAUAAUUUAAGGAGAGUUUAAUUGGUUAUCCAUAUUUUAGAAUAUUCACAUCUAGACACCUUAAACUCCUCCUAACUAACUUCAUGGUUUAAGUUUAUUACAUUAUGUAAACAUUAACAUUUAGGACUCAUUUAUACCAUAUAAUUAAGAUUAGUUUAAAAAGAAAGGGAGAGUAAUUAAUGUUCAUUAUUAUCUCAAACUUCCCCCAAUAUCCUUCUUCUAUAUAACAAAAAUUGUCGGUGAUUCUCCUUCCAUAAUUGAUCCCUUUUUAGUAUAAAAGUACAAAAAAUCAAUCAUACUUUAUACAAUUAAAUUUUUAUUAUAUUAUAUAUAUAAUAUAAUGUGUUUGUAUGAAAAAUAUAUAUAUAUAUAUAUAUAUAUAUAUAUAUAUAUAUAUAUUUAUAUAUAUAUGCAUAUAUCAACAAUAUAUUGUAUAGACAUAUAGUAUUAUACAUAUACAAUUAAACGAAUAAACAUAAGAGACAAACACAUUUGUAUAACAUAUACAUAUGCAUAUCAACUAUGUGUUACCAACAUGGGUUGUGGUGCAGCGGAUGGGGCUGCUCCACCCUUAACUAGAGGUCGAAGGUUCGAUCCUGGGCAUAGAGAAAACUCUAUUGGGAGCGCUACCCCCGAAUGGGGCCCUACCCGUUACGAAUCUGGAUUAGUCGGGUUCCAAUGCGGGUACCGGACACCGAAUGGGAAACCACAAAAAAACUAUGUGUUGAAUAAAUAUAUACAUAUGCAUAUCAACGCUAUAUUGUAUAAACAUAUAAUUAUACAUAUACAAUAAAAAGAUUGAAUAUUUGUAUAUUAGAUCCUAAUGCGCUGAUACUCAUUCUAAUACGUGAUACAUAAUGUAUAAAAAUCAACAUAUGUAUAUAAAAAUAAUUAUAUUUGUACGCAUAUAUAUAUAUAUAUACAUAUAUAUACAGAUAUGCAUAUGUGUAUAUAGACAAAUAUAGAACAUAUGUAUAUACAUAUAUAUAAUGUAUAUAUGAAUCAACACAUACAUAUGAAUAUGCCUAUGUAUGUGUACCAACACUGAACAAACUUGUAUACAUAUAUAGUUAUACAAAAAUGUAUAUAUAUACAUCAAAAUAUACAUCCAGUAUAUUGAAUAUACAAAUGAAAAAAAUAUACAAUGCAUACCCACAUAAAAAAAAUCUAUGCAAUUGAAUACAGUGAAAUCACUUAUAUAUAAUUAUCAAAUUCACUAAAAUUAGAUCAAAUGUCCAAUUAUGAAAUAAUCUAUCAAGAUUUAUUCUGUGAAAUUGACACUAAUAUACAAUUCAAUUUUUAAAUUAUAUAUUCUAAUCUAUGAAAAUAGAUGAAAUUUAAAAAAACUUAGCGGCUCAUUUAGAGAGUACCUAAAAAAAAAAAAAUCAAAAGAAAACAAAUCUAUAUACCCAAAAAAACUAAAGAUUACCACAAAAUCUUCAUUAUAUAUCCCACGAAUGUUUUGGAAUGAGAAAUUACUCCAAAAAAUUUUUAAUGCAAACCUAUAACGAUUUUUUUUUCUUUGAGAUAUGUUCAAGGAUCGCACAUAAGUUAAUGCUACAAAACUAGCCAAUUAGAUAAGAGAGAUUAUGAGAAAUUAAUUACAUGAGAGAGAGAGUAUAUUAUUUGCUAUAUACAUUGCAAAUUAUAUUUGUAUAUAGGAGCUCACAAAAAAAAAAAGCAGUUUUAUCUAUAAUCUAUAAUAUAUAAUAUAUUGAAAGUGUGAAGAGCCUUAGACAUGUGGUUUGAACUUUUUAUGUCAUUCAUUAAAAGUCAUUAUUUUAGACAAAAUCGUCUUUUCACUAUUUUUUUCUAAUAUUUAAGCGUUGAAAAUUAAUUAAAUAUAUUUAUAGUAUCUUUCCUUAUUAGAAGACAUCAAAAUUAAUGACAAUCAAUAUUCUUUUCAUUAGUUUAAUAAUUCUAAAUCAGCUAAAUUUGAUUUUAAAAAGAUUUGAAAAAUCCAAAAAUAAAUAUGAAAACGUUAGAAUAGAAAAAAUUUAAGAAGCAUCAAAUUUUUAAAAGUUCUAAGUACGUAAUAAGAAUGUAAUCAGUGAUUUUAUAAAGAUUUGACUUUAAAAAUAAGAAAAAAAAUUAAAUAUAGAAAAAAUAAAAGAAAAUAAUCAUACCACACCGAUGUGGUUCAAAUUGAUAAGUCUCUCUUAGUCUCUGCCCCCUGGUAGCAAGAGAAAACGGUAUUGCAUGGCAAACACAAAAAUUGUGAUCAAUUAACCACUUAAAACUUCUGGUGCUAUAUACAUACAUACAUACAUACAUACAUACAUACAUACAUACAUACAUAUAUAUAUAGAUACUUAAACUAAAGUAUAUGUUCAUGUUUACGCUAUAUUAUAGUGUGAAGGAUCUUUGAAAAGUGAUUUGAACUUUUUACACUUGAUUAAAAUUCUCCGCAAUAGACAGAAUUAUUUAAUUUUAAGUAUCAAACAUUACGUACGGUUAAAUUAGUAACUAACAAAUAACUAUGUAGGGUAAUUUUUUAAAACUUUAACCAUGUCAUGUAAUUAAGAAAUUAUUUUAUCUAUGCUAGUGUGUAAUUUUUUCAUUUUUUGGAAUAUAUAAUAUGGGUUGACUCAUAUUUUUUAAGGAAAAAUUUCCACACCUGGAAUAGAACAUCGAGACACCCCAAUUCUUAAGUUUUGAGUAAUCUCCUUGUUACUUAUUGUAUUGUAUCAUUUUUUAAUUCAAAUAAACUGUUUUAUUUUGUGUAACAGCAUAUUUAGUGUGAUCACAUGUUAUCUUCUGUUUUUUUUAUUUUUUUCUCAUUUUAUCUUUAAUGAUCCUAUUUUAUUCAUUACCCUACUUGUUUUUAUAUUAGUUCAACUUCAUAUCAUACUUUUCUUAUUAGUUUAUUCUUCAAAUUAUUGUACGAAAAAGAUACAAUUUAUCUGAACAUUAUAUUCAUUAAAUCAAUACAGUAAGAUGCAAUACAACACAAUACAUUACAAAACAAUUCGAAACACUCAUACAAACAAGGCUGUAGUAAUAAUUAAGGUUAUGACAUGCUCAAUUCAAUUCAGAGGAAUAGGGACAGCUCGCAAAGGACGCGAUCUCGCUAGUGUAAUCCCAAACUUUUCUUCUACAUCCAAAUCCUCUAGUGCAAUAUUGCCUUCAGCUUUCCAAUCAAACGAAUUCAACAACGAACCCAACAUUACAAUAAGUGUCCUGGUUGCCAAAGGUAACCCCGGGCAAAUUCUUCUACCCGCACCAAAUGGAAUGACCUCAAAAUCUUGGCCACGAAGGUCUAUUUUUGAACCCCAAAAUCUCUCAGGUUUAAAUGCAAGAGGAUCCUCCCAUAUAGCUGGAUCUCGUCCUAUUGACCAUACGUUCACUAACACUUGAGAGUCUUUCGGGACAAAAUAGCCACACGCCUCAACGUCUUGAUCUACCUUUCGGAGCAAAAGGGGUACCGGUGGGUGCAUCCGCAAGGUUUCUUUCACUAUGCACUCCAAAUAAGGGAGGCGGGAGAUGUCAGCUUCUUCUAUUAUCUUGCCUUUGCCAAUAACCUCUGCAAGCUCGCUUUUAGCUUUCUUCAUUAUGCAUGGUUUUCUCAUGACCUCUACCAUUGCCCAUUCUAAUGUAUUUGAAGUUGUAUCUGUUCCCGCAGUGAAAAGGUCCUGCAAUAUUAAUAACUCUCAGGGAGCAAUAAGACAAUAAUGAAUCAUCGCAGCAUUUUCAUGUAAAUUGAUGGUGUUGUUAACUCUUUUCUUCAUUAAAAAUAUUACGUCCGCUUAUAAGGUAGUAUGCAAUGGAUCCUUUUGUAAUUCUGAUAUUUUCUAAUUUGUAGUUUCACUGGUCGAAAAUGAUUGUUCAAAAGGUCUAUCUGGCUGUGCAAAUAAGGAACUUAGCCAAGGUAAACAAGUUUAAAAUUACCUGGCACAAGUGUUCUAUAUGAAUUCUGUCGAUUGCCUGCGGAUCUUCUUGACUAGUAUUUAACAUAACUUCAAGAAAAUCUGUUGUACCACAAUUUGGCGACUUCCUCCUUUGCUCCAAUCGUUCAUCGAUCAAUCCCUGAAUCUGCUGAAACAACUUACCAGAAAACUUGACUGCGCGUCGCCUUAUUCCUUGUGGAUCUAUCCUUUUCAACAGGGGGAAAUAGUCGGCCAAAUUGGGCUUACCAGCUUCUUCCAUGAUUUUCCACACCACAUCCUUAAAUUCAUUACCUGAAUUCGCAUAAGGGUCCACAACAUCCUUGGAGAAAAUGGUAUUCGAGAGUAAUUUCAUAGAGGUCUCGAAAGCAGCUUGGCCUAUAUUCA